CAUUGUAAAAAGACUUUGGCAAACUAUGUGCAAUUGCAAGGAGGCAGAACACAGAGGUGUUGCCUGUUCACUGAUAGGUAUUUUCCCCUGCCCAGAAUGUGCUUUAUAAAGUUCAGUCAAUGGAUGGCACUGCUGGCUUUUCACAGCUGGGCUUGUUUUGGGAACGGGCUUGUGCAACGUGUUUAUGAGUCAUCAUUCACUUUAAACCAUGUCUGAAACCUUGCUGUUACAAAGUGGUUAUUUCAAUGGCAACCAUGCAGCUAACUCAUCUGGAUCGAAGAUGUGCAUCCAACUGCCAAAAUGCACUUUCCAGAAUCACUGGAGGAAGGAGGGCACACCGAGUAUCCUCAGCACUAGACAGAAAGAGCUGCUCUGCUGCCAAAGUGUGGAUUUUGUUGACCUGAAGCUCUUUCCCUUGGAAAAGGGUCUUCCCAGCAGGCAGCAGAGGACGCACUUGUGGGAUGGGAUCUGCAGAGCUGCAGCUUUGGCUGCUUUGAGCAGCUCUGCAUCGCCCACCACCAAUGCAAUGGUGGAAUUGGCUGAGUGGAAAUUCACUCCCUCAGAACGUACCCCGUUACUGUGGAGCAAAUGUAAAAACAUGCUGCUGGAAGCACAUGCCAACAUUUGGCUCAGCGUGGGUUGCCAACCAGGGCAACUGGGGCCUGACCUUGUGGCAAACAGCAUGUGCUGCCAGAAAUGCCUCAAAAACCUCAGGGCUCUUCAUAUUUUUAUACAGAGGAAUGAAGAGAUGAUCCGCUCACAGAGUGUACUUCAGAGGACAAUGCCAAUCAAAAUGAAAUUCUAAGCUGUAUGUUCGUGCUUGGCAAUAACUUUUUCUGAAUGAUGUAAAAUGCUAGCUAGAAAUAUGAUUUCCAUCUAGAUUAAUACGUGCUGUUGUAUAUGCCACCGGAGCUAAAGAAAAUACUUCAAAAAUACCACAUGAAAUCUUCUAAAUGAGACUGCAGGUAAAAAUUGAAAUAAUUUCCUCUGGAACCCAUAUAAUCUUGAGCUUGUUAUCAACAUCUGAAUAGCAUUUCUGAAGCAGCAGCCAUAUGCGCUCACAAAUUAGGGCACAUAUUG
rnacentral:lncRNA from 7 species